rnacentral:rRNA from 1 species
AUCUUUGGUAUUUUUAUAUUUUGGCACGGGAAGAUAAAAUAUUAAAUAAAUAAUUAUUUUAUUUUUGAAUUACAUUAAACUAUUUUGGCAAAAAGGUUUAAUAAAUUUAGAAUUUGGGUGUGUGAUUAACCACAAAUAGUAUUGUAAUUAUUUGAAAUUAUUUUAUUUAUUAUUAGAAGAUUAUGAUUCAUUUUUUUUUUUUUUUAGUUAGAGUAGCUUUUUUAACUUUGUUAAAACGUAAAGUGUU